UACGGAGGGUGCAAGCAUUAAUCGGAAUUAUUGGCCGUAAAGGGCGCGUAGGCGGAAUUGUAAGUCAGAUGUGAAAUACCGAAGCUUAACUUCGGUGCUGCACUUGAAACUGCAAAUCUAGAGGGUAGACGGAGAAAACGGAAUUCCACGUGUAGCGGUGAAAUGCGUGGAUACGUGGAAGAACACCUGUGGCGAAAGCGGUUUUCUAGUUUAUACCUGACGCUGAGGCGCGAGAGCAAGGGGAGCAAACAGG
rnacentral:rRNA from 1 species